UUGUAUUUCCUGAACCGUCUGAGGGUUUUCUGGCGUGUGUGCAGAAUCAUCAUGCUGUUGUUGUGCCUAGGCUUCCUGCUGGUUUGAAUUUGCUUAGCCCAGUCAGGAGAUGUCAAGAUUAACUUUCAAUGUGGAGCUUGAUACUGCUAAUGCAACUUAGUUAUUUAUUAAUAUUUUAGAUUAUUCUAUCUUUAAGUGCUAAGUGUAAUUUGUGACAUUCAUGUAACAUUGGGAUGGUCAUCUUAUUUUUUUGGGUAUCUUUUUAUUAAGACAAUGAGAUAUUGGCCAAUGAUGUUGAAAAAUAACAUCCAAUUUUAUAGGUAUCAUGUAAUGAAUAUUAUGUUUAUUUAUGUGA